GAAACCAACAGGGAUUGCCCUAGUAACGGCGAGUGAAGCGGCAACAGCUCAAAUUUGAAAUCUGGCGCAAGCCCGAGUUGUAAUUUGUAGAGGAUGCUUCAGGGCAGCGGCCGGUCUAAGUUCCUUGGAACAGGACGUCAUAGAGGGUGAGAAUCCCGUAUGCGACCGGUUGGCACCCGUCACGUAGCUCCUUCGACGAGUCGAGUUGUUUGGGAAUGCAGCUCUAAAUGGGAGGUAAAUUUCUUCUAAAGCUAAAUACCGGCCAGAGACCGAUAGCGCACAAGUAGAGUGAUCGAAAGAUGAAAAGCACUUUGGAAAGAGAGUUAAAAAGCACGUGAAAUUGUUGAAAGGGAAGCGCAUGCAACCAGACUUGUCGGCGGUGUUCCGCCGGUCUUCUGACCGGUCUACUCGCCGCCGGCAGGCCAGCAUCAUCUGGGCGCGCCGGAUAAAGGCGUGGGGAAUGUAGCUCCUCGGAGUGUUAUAGCCCCGCGCACAAUACGGCGCCGCUCGGGUGAGGUCCGCGCUUCGGCUAGGAUGCUGGCGUAAUGGUUGUCUGCGGCCCGUCUUGAAACACGGACCAAGGAGUCUAACAUCUAUGCGAGUGUUCGGGUGUCAAACCCCUACGCGGAAUGAAAGUGAACGGAGGUGGGAAGCGCAAGCUGCACCAUCGACCGAUCCUGAUGUCUUCGGAUGGAUUUGAGUAAGAGCAUAGCUGUUGGGACCCGAAAGAUGGUGAACUAUGCCUGAAUAGGGUGAAGCCAGAGGAAACUCUGGUGGAGGCUCGCAGCGGUUCUGACGUGCAAAUCGAUCGUCAAAUUUGGGUAUAGGGGCGAAAGACUAAUCGAACC
rnacentral:rRNA from 1 species